rnacentral:rRNA from 1 species
GAGUUUGAUCGUGGCUCAGAUUGAACGCUGGCGGCAGGCCUAACACAUGCAAGUCGAGCGGAUGACGGGAGCUUGCUCCUUGAUUCAGCGGCGGACGGGUGAGUAAUGCCUAGGAAUCUGCCUGGUAGUGGGGGACAACGUUUCGAAAGGAACGCUAAUACCGCAUACGUCCUACGGGAGAAAGCAGGGGACCUUCGGGCCUUGCGCUAUCAGAUGAGCCUAGGUCGGAUUAGCUAGUUGGUGGGGUAAUGGCUCACCAAGGCGACGAUCCGUAACUGGUCUGAGAGGAUGAUCAGUCACACUGGAACUGAGACACGGUCCAGACUCCUACGGGAGGCAGCAGUGGGGAAUAUUGGACAAUGGGCGAAAGCCUGAUCCAGCCAUGCCGCGUGUGUGAAGAAGGUCUUCGGAUUGUAAAGCACUUUAAGUUGGGAGGAAGGGCAGUAAGUUAAUACCUUGCUGUUUUGACGUUUACCGACAGAAUAAGCACCGGCUAACUCUGUGCCAGCCGCG